UACGUAGGGUGCAAGCGUUAUCCGGAAUUAUUGGGCGUAAAGAGCUCGUAGGCGGUUUGUCGCGUCUGCUGUGAAAACGCGAGGCUCAACCUCGCGCCUGCAGUGGGUACGGGCAGACUAGAGUGCGGUAGGGGAGAUUGGAAUUCCUGGUGUAGCGGUGGAAUGCGCAGAUAUCAGGAGGAACACCGAUGGCGAAGGCAGGUCUCUGGGCAUUAACUGACGCUGAGGAGCGAAAGCAUGGGGAGCGAACAGG
rnacentral:rRNA from 1 species